UGAAGAUAUAUUUCCUAUAAGAUCAUCCCGCAGAGAAAAAUCAUUUUGUCUUUGUAGAAACUAAGAUAAAAAGAUUAAACUCGUCAGUUAUGACCAAUUUGUCAAAAACAAAGGACACAUGCAUAGAAAAGGAUACAUCACUUUGAAUUUGCCUUAUUUAAACAUACCACAUAUUUGAUAUAGAACAAAUUCGCUGGAGAUGAGGCAGGUUUUACAUUACCUUGAUGAAACCACCUUUUUGUUAAGCAUGUAGCUAGUCAUGCAUGGGUCUUAACACCAUGAUUAACCAUGAACGGGUUAAUCAUUGUAGCACAUGUGAGAUACAUAGGCGCGUAUUUAGUGUCCAACACAUUGCCGCACUCAGGAUAUUGUCUUCCAAAGUGAUGUACAACGAAUAUCUGGUACAUGCCGAAUUUGGAGUACAUUGUUUUGGGUGUUCGUACAACCCCGGUGCAAUAUGUUCAAACUUGCCUAUUUUUGCCAGCGGUACGAAGACUAUACGAUCUGGGCAGUGUUUUUUGCUAGAGGGAAUCAUAGGUACAGGAUGUAAUUAGGUAUUUAUGACUUCCACAUGGAGACACAUCAUGUAUAUAGAUGAAAAGCAAAGAUCGAUUUGAUACCUGAUGGAUAAUACUUUGAUACGUACGUGUGUAUUGAUUGCUACAUGAAAAUUAUCUAGCUUCAUAUUGGCCAAGCGUACCCUGUUGAGAUCACAGCUGAACACAACUUGGACGGUGAGCUUGGAUCACCGGCGGAUACAACUUGCCCGCCCGGGUCAUGAACGGGGCAGUAGUGUAGCACUAUCUUUUUUUCCAGAUCAACCUUCCACACACUGAUUGAAUAGAAUAUUGAUGGGACCAUUAGAUAGGAGGCAAAUAAAAACAAAUCAAGAAAGGAUACAGCGGCGGCUAGGUUAGAGAGAUACCUUAUAAUAAAAAAAAUACGGGUUGAUGGAUUCAUACAUUGUGCUAGCCGGCUUGCUGUUGAUCGAUUUCAUAGGAACACACGUGUAUAGGAUGCAAAUCAUGAACUGAUUUAGUAGCCGGUGGCUCUUAGUUUGCAGGUGGGUCUGCUAGCUUCGUGAAAAUUCAUCUACCUUCAUAUAUGAGAACCUGGAUUAGUCACCACGAAUGAUGGAAAGGAAAUAAAUCAAGGGUGGCGGCUAGGUUAAAAGUAUUACGUGGGGAUCUGUU
rnacentral:lncRNA from 1 species